CGUGCCAGACGGGGAGGUAGCGGUGCCCUGAACCCGCAAUCCGCUAUAGCGGGGUUUCAUCCCCCGUUUGAGGCUCGGCGCUGUGGUGCCUGCCGCGCGAACGGAGCGUUGAAUCGUGGGACUCGUGCAACGGAAUGACUGUGAACCGUGUCAGAUCCUGACGGAAGCAGCACUAAGCGGACCCUUCCGUGUGCCGCGAGGUCUCCUGCGAGGAGCCACCGGCAACCGGUAAGACGGUAGCGUCCUGUCGAGGACGGGGUGCAC
rnacentral:SRP_RNA from 1 species